AAAAAAAUCCAGUGAAAACCGUUUGAUUCAUUCCUCCUCCUCCCAAGAAUGGCAACAUAAGCAUUUUCAUUAGCUUCCACUUUAUUCUCAUAACCUAAUCUUCUCUCCGUUUCUUCUUCAUCGCUUGUUCCAUUCACAAAUCAGGUUUUCUUUCAAAACAAAUCUUGUAAUUUCAACAAAGUUGGGAUUUUGAGAAGAACCCAUGAAAGUUUAUCAGUUAAAUCUGUAACUUUAGAUUUUUCAGGUUCAUCCUUUGAAGGAGGUGUUGGAGAAGAUGAUUAAUCACCAUCAUCUGGUGGUAUUUUAGGAGCUACUGAAGAGAAAGAAGAACCUCAAUGACCACCUGGUUUAAGACAAUAUGAAACUAUGGCUGUUUUAAUACCUGAUAUGACUGAAGAUGAGCAUCUUGCUCUUACCCAGAAGUAUGAAGAGGUCUUGCCACACCCUUGUGGAUGUUUGAUGGAAUGGAAAGGACGCAAUUCCAUAGUAACAACCUGAGGUACUGCAGGAAGGUCCUAUGUUGACUGAACGUGAUGCGGCAAAACUUCAGAGGAAAAAAAAAGUAAGGACGGGCGGCAAAGAGGAGGUGAGACGACGACAUUUAAGUCAAACUACAACUAAAACUACCGAUUAGUUUUGUCCUCUGUCACCACUCAGGCACAAUAUCUGAUGCAUUUGUUGGAAAUGGAAGCAGCUAAACGCUGCCAGUUGUAUCUGUAAACCACGAUAAUGAUAUCGAGGAUCCAGCUGUGGAAGAUAUCCAUAUGGAGAGCUUUAUUGUUUUAAUUGGAGGUCCUGAAUUCAUUCGGAUGGGUCAGUCACACUCUCUUAUGUGGGGCAAUAUGGUCUGCUCGCAAGAAAUGGAACCGGGAAAAUCUCUUUCCUCAGGUAUAUGACAUUGCAUGCCAUUGACGGAAUCCUAAGUCGAGAGGUUUCAGCUUCAGAAAGAAAAAGCUUGUCUAACUGCACUUCAGGGAGAUUUGGAGUCCGAGACUGCAGGAAAAAAACCCACUGAGGAGUUGAACGAAGUUGCUGCUUCACAAAAGCUUGAACGAUUUGUAGGCUUCAGUAGCUCAGGAAGCUUCCAUUAUUGCGAUCAGUUCUCUUAAACUUUCAUGAUGUUGCUAGCCUUAAAAAGUUUCUCAACCACAGCAAUAGUUUUAUUGAAAAUUACCACUGAGGUCUUGAAUAAGACGAUUAGUUCUUAUCUUGUUUUAUUAGAAUUUGUCCCUGUUAAUAUAUGGAAGAAAUUGACUUCUUAAAGAAAACCAAACAAACCAUUACAGUAAUUCGUAAGGAAUAGCAAGAUAAUCUAAGCACAAAAGUGGGCUUCUCUCUUAAACCCAGAAUGAUUUUUACCCUUAACUGUGUAUUGGUUUUGUAACUUGCCAAAGAUAAAAUUGUUUCCAAGUAGUUCAUAACAUCAAGACCAGUAUCGUGCUCUAGUCAUGUCAGUACUGUUCUUAUCUCGUCCUGUUUCAGUUGUCUCGAGGGGUUAUCUUCCUAAUGUAUUUAAGCUCACUCGAAACUCUGUUAAGUGAGACAUAACUUAGAAUUCAUUUAGAUGCAUCUCUACGUAGCAACCUACUGAUUCUAGGAAUUAGUUUGUUACUUCCAAGGUGUCUUAAAAAUACAA